AUGGCUCUAUUCCUCCCACAUGUAUUCCCAUGUCAGGAUCUAGUAUGCCCUGAUAGCUACUCCUUCUCCCAUGUGGUUCCAGUAUGCACAACGCCAAUCUUUCCCUUGCGAGAUUCUACAUCAACGUGGCCGUCGGGUCUUCCUUGGAUUGGGUUAUACUGGAUCGGUGCCAUCCUCGCACUAGAAGCCCCGCCUUUCUGCAAGGUACACAACUUGCUCGCUACAGAGGAAAGAGAUGAUGCACAUUACUCCUUUCUGCAAGUAAAGAAAGGAUAUGUUCUCAUAACAAGGAUUGGAAGUAUAACAUCUUACAAAAACCAAUAUGGACAACACAGAUCUGAAAGUGAUGGACAGAAUAAGAAAGGCGAGGUGUACUUUUCGUAUUUAGGACAAAGCAUUUAA
rnacentral:rRNA from 1 species